CCUACGGGAGGCAGCAGUGAGGAAUAUUGGUCAAUGGACGGAAGUCUGAACCAGCCAUGCCGCGUGCAGGAAGACGGCUCUAUGAGUUGUAAACUGCUUUUGUCCAAGGGUAAACCUGAAUACGUGUAUUCAGCUGAAAGUACUGUACGAAUAAGGAACGGCUAACUCCGUGCCAGCCGCCGCGGUAAUACGGAGGAUUCAAGCGUUAUCCGGAUUUGUUUGGUUUAAAGGGUGCGUAGGCGGAUGGAUAAGUUAGAGGUGAAAUGUCCGAGCUUAACUCGGGAACUGCCUCUAAUACUGGUGAUCUAGAGAGUGGAUGCGGUAGGCGGAAUGUGUGGUGUAGCGGUGAAAUGCUUAGAGAUCAUACAGAACGCCGAUUGCGAAGGCAGCUUACCAAUCUAUAUCUGACGUUGAGGCACGAAAGCGUGGGGAUCAAACAGGAUUAGAUACCCCAGUAGUC
rnacentral:rRNA from 1 species